GAUGAACGCUAGCGGCAGGCCUAACACAUGCAAGUCGAGGGAGGAGCCUUCGGGCUUCGACCGGCGUACGGGUGCGUAACGCGUAUACAAUCUGCCUUUCACAUAGGGAUAGCCCGAAGAAAUUUGGAUUAAUACCUAAUGGUAUAUAGAUGUGGCAUCACCUUUAUAUUAAAGCUGAGGCGGUGAAAGAUGAGUAUGCGUUCUAUUAGCUAGUUGGAGAGGUAACGGCUCCCCAAGGCGACGAUAGAUAGGGGUUCUGAGAGGGAUAUCCCCACACUGGUACUGAGAUACGGACCAGACUCCUACGGGAGGCAGCAGUGAGGAAUAUUGGACAAUGGUCGGAAGACUGAUCCAGCCAUGCCGCGUGCAGGAAGACGACCUUAUGGGUUGUAAACUGCUUUUGCAGGGGAAGAAUAAGGACUACGCGUAGUUUGAUGACGGUACUCUGCGAAUAAGCAUCGGCUAACUCCGUG
rnacentral:rRNA from 1 species